GCGGGGGUAGCAGAGCCAGGUCAAUCCUCGCGCAGGGUCUGUAUGCGCGGGACUCAAGAUCCCGUCCCGUAGGGGUACGUGGGUUCGAAUCCCACCCCCCGCACCA
rnacentral:tRNA from 1 species